UACAGGGGGUACAAACGUUGCUCGGAAUCAUUGGGCGUAAAGCGCACGUAGGCGGUUCGUUAUGUCGGAUGUGAAAGCCCCUUGGCUUAACCGAGGAAGUGCAUCCGAAACUGGCGAGCUAGAGUACGAAAGAGGAUCGCCGGAAUUCCCGGUGUAGAGGUGAAAUUCGUAGAUAUCGGGAGGAACACCUGUGGCGAAAGCGGCUCCACUGGACCAUAACUGACGCUGAUGCACGAAAGCUAGGGGAGCAAACAGGG
rnacentral:rRNA from 1 species